AUUGAACGCUGGCGGCAUGCCUUACACAUGCAAGUCGAACGGCAGCGCGGGGCAACCUGGCGGCGAGUGGCGAACGGGUGAGUAAUAUAUCGGAACGUACCCUGGAGUGGGGGAUAACGUAGCGAAAGUUACGCUAAUACCGCAUACGAUCUAAGGAUGAAAGUGGGGGAUCGCAAGACCUCAUGCUCCUGGAGCGGCCGAUAUCUGAUUAGCUAGUUGGAGGGUAAAAGCCUACCAAGGCAUCGAUCAGUAGCUGGUCUGAGAGGACGACCAGCCACACUGGAACUGAGACACGGUCCAGACUCCUACGGGAGGCAGCAGUGGGGAAUUUUGGACAAUGGGCGCAAGCCUGAUCCAGCAAUGCCGCGUGAGUGAAGAAGGCCUCGGUUGU
rnacentral:rRNA from 1 species